rnacentral:rRNA from 1 species
AGAGUUUGAUCAUGGCUCAGAUUGAACGCUGGCGGCAGGCCUAACACAUGCAAGUCGAACGGUAACAUUUCUAGCUUGCUAGAAGAUGACGAGUGGCGGACGGGUGAGUAAUGCUUGGGAACUUGCCUUUGCGAGGGGGAUAACAGUUGGAAACGACUGCUAAUACCGCAUAAUGUCUACGGACCAAACGGGGCUUCGGCUCCGGCGCAAAGAGAGGCCCAAGUGAGAUUAGCUAGUUGGUAAGGUAACGGCUUACCAAGGCGACGAUCUCUAGCUGUUCUGAGAGGAAGGUCAGCCACACUGGGACUGAGACACGGCCCAGACUCCUACGGGAGGCAGCAGUGGGGAAUAUUGCACAAUGGGGGAAACCCUGAUGCAGCCAUGCCGCGUGUGUGAAGAAGGCCUUCGGGUUGUAAAGCACUUUCAGUUGUGAGGAAAAGUUAGUAGUUAAUACCUGCUAGCCGUGACGUUAACAACAGAAGAAGCACCGGCUAACUCCGUGCCAGCAGUCGCGGUAAUACGGAGGGUGCGAGCGUUAAUCGGAAUUACUGGGCGUAAAGCGCACGCAGGCGGUUUGUUAAGCUAGAUGUGAAAGCCCCGGGCUCAACCUGGGAUGGUCAUUUAGAACUGGCAGACUAGAGUCUUGGAGAGGGGAGUGGAAUUCCAGGUGUAGCGGUGAAAUGCGUAGAUAUCUGGAGGAACAUCAGUGGCGAAGGCGACUCCCUGGCCAAAGACUGACGCUCAUGUGCGAAAGUGUGGGUAGCGAACAGGAUUAGAUACCCUGGUAGUCCACACCGUA